rnacentral:rRNA from 1 species
AUUGAACGCUGGCGGAAUGCUUUACACAUGCAAGUCGAACGGCAGCACGGACUUCGGUCUGGUGGCGAGUGGCGAACGGGUGAGUAACAUAUCGGAACGUAUCCAAUAAUGGGGGAUAACUAGUCGAAAGAUUGGCUAAUACCGCAUACGCCCUACGGGGGAAAGCUGGGGAUCGUAAGACCUGGCGUUAAUGGAGCGGCCGAUAUCUGAUUAGCUAGUUGGUGAGGUAAAAGCUCACCAAGGCGACGAUCAGUAGCUGGUCUGAGAGGACGACCAGCCACACUGGAACUGAGACACGGUCCAGACUCCUACGGGAGGCAGCAGUGGGGAAUUUUGGACAAUGGGCGCAAGCCUGAUCCAGCCAUUCCGCGUGAGUGAAGAAGGCCUUCGGGUUGUAAAGCUCUUUCGCAAGGGAAGAAAACUUAUCCUCUAACAUAGGAUGAGGUUGACGGUACCUUGAUAAGAAGCACCGGCUAACUACGUGCCAGCCGCCGCAGUAACAC